CCGUACACAAAAGCGCAUGUGCUGUGAGCUCGAUGAGUAGGGCGGGACACGUGGUAUCCUGUCUGAAUAUGGGGGGACCAUCCUCCAAGGCUAAAUACUCCUGACUGACCGAUAGUGAACCAGUACCGUGAGGGAAAGGCGAAAAGAACCCCGGCGAGGGGAGUGAAAAAGAACCUGAAACCGUGUACGUACAAGCAGUGGGAGCACAGGUUUACCUGUGUGACUGCGUACCUUUUGUAUAAUGGGUCAGCGACUUAUAUUCUGUAGCAAGGUUAACCGUAUAGGGGAGCCGGAGGGAAACCGAGUCUUAAUUGGGCGUUAAGUUGCAGGGUAUAGACCCGAAACCCGGUGAUCUAGCCAUGGGCAGGUUGAAGGUUGGGUAACACUAACUGGAGGACCGAACCGACUAAUGUUGAAAAAUUAGCGGAUGACCUGUGGCUGGGGGUGAAAGGCCAAUCAAACCGGGAGAUAGCUGGUUCUCCCCGAAAGCUAUUUAGGUAGCGCCUCGUGAAUUCAUCUCCGGGGGUAGAGCACUGUUUCGGCUAGGGGGCCAUCCCGGCUUACCAACCCGAUGCAAACUGCGAAUACCGGAGAAUGUUAUCACGGGAGACACACGGCGGGUGCUAACGUCCGUCGUGAAGAGGGAAACAACCCAGACCGCCAGCUAAGGUCCCAAAGUCAUGGUUAAGUGGGAAACGAUGUGGGAAGGCCCAGACAGCCAGGAUGUUGGCUUAGAAGCAGCCAUCAUUUAAAGAAAGCGUAAUAGCUCACUGGUCGAGUCGGCCUGCGCGGAAGAUGUAACGGGGCUAAACCAUGCACCGAAGCUGCGGCAGCGAACGUAUCACCCAAGACAACUUUACGGAGUUGACGAUUGACGGAGCGAAGCGACGUCAAAGCGUUCAUUAAAGUCGAGUUGGCUUAGGGAUACGUUCGUUGGGUAGGGGAGCGUUCUGUAAGCCUGUGAAGGUGUGUCGUGAGGCAUGCUGGAGGUAUCAGAAGUGCGAAUGCUGACAUAAGUAACGAUAAAGCGGGUGAAAAGCCCGCUCGCCGGAAGACCCAGGGUUCCUGUCCAACGUUAAUCGG
rnacentral:rRNA from 1 species